rnacentral:siRNA from 1 species
CUGGUGGUGGCUUGAGACGU